AGGAAUGUCCUCGUAGGCCUCCUCCUCGGUAGAUUGGGAAAGACGAUACUGGGGAGGGUAGGUUCCUCGGUGCCUGUCAAUCAUCCUCAUGCUAAGCAUGCUCGAGAUGCCUUGUGGAGACAUCUGGCCGAUGAGGGUGAGGGAUGACUCUUGGGCCGGGGUGUUGAGAAGCCCGAAGUGUCACUCCAGUCGAGUCACGUAGGGACCAAUGGAGAUGAC
rnacentral:lncRNA from 1 species